rnacentral:tRNA from 1 species
GUUCAUGUGGCUCAGUUGGUAGAGCAUGGUGUUUGCAACGCCAGGGUUGUGGGUUUGAUUCCCGCGGGGGACC